rnacentral:rRNA from 1 species
AUUGAACGCUGGCGGCAGGCCUAACACAUGCAAGUCGAGCGAGCGGCGGACGGGUGAGUAAUGUAUGGGGACUGCCCGAUAGAGGGGGAUAACUACUGGAAACGGUGGCUAAUACCGCAUACUAUCGGAUAACCCAUAUGGGAUUAGCUAGUAGGUGGGGUAAAGGCUCACCUAGGCGACGAUCUCUAGCUGGUCUGAGAGGAUGAUAGGCCACACUGUGACAUAUACACGUGCCAGACUCAUACGGAGGCCGCAGUGGGGAGUAUUGCACAAUGGGCGCAAGCCUGAUGCAGCCAUGCCGCGUGUAUGAAGAAGGCCGUAGGGUUGUAAAGUACUUGCAGCGGGGAGGCGUUACCCGCAGAAGAAGCACCGGCUAACUCCGUGCCAGCAGGGGCGGUAAGUC